AAAUCAGAGCGAUAAGUCCACUUUAGGCCGUCCAAGGCGUUUCCCUCCGUAGGUGGGUAUGAGCCUUGGCAGAACAAGCCUAAAGGGCACGCUCUUUUU
rnacentral:sRNA from 12 species